GCAUUGUGGGUGCCAUGGUGAGAUGUACGUGCGAUACACGCAGGAGCGGUGAGACAACUCUGUGACCUAAAGACCGAUAACUCAAAGACCCCUUGGAGCUGGUCUCCAGCAUCGGCAAAUAUCUCGGUGACAACACAGACAAACUACUAAUCCACAAAGAGACCCCUACCAGUCCGGCUUCAGACCUGGCCACUCGACAG